UCUGAUGCUGGGACUUACUACUGUGCUGUGGCCACAUGUGGGGAGAUAUUAUUUGGAAAUGGAACUAAACUGGACAUUGAAGAGCAAAAAUCAGGUUCUGAAUUUACUGUGCUGGUUAUGGCAAUAAUCUUCUUGGUUAUUUCUGUGACUCUCAUUAUUGUUUGUUGUCAAACUCCAAGAGGACUAUGUGAACAAUGCAAAGAUGCAGUUGCUUUGCAAACAAAUCUGACAGCAAAAGGAGAUCAGGAAAUUCUGCAGACAGAUGAAGACUCAUUGGUUUAUUCUGUAGCAAUUUUCUCUUGUGGAAAAAUUAGAUACAGGAACAAAGACUAGAUACAGGACUACAGAACCUGCAGAAGAUGAGAAAUAAUUUGAAAGCUCUUGAGCUGGAUUGAUAUCUAGACACAUAUAACUCUUGCCUUUUUAAAUUGGGUUAGAAAUGUACUUGUUCUUCUAGCUAACCUAAUUUUCUUCUCCAUGUUUAUUGAUAAUUUUGUUGACAGAAAUAAAUAGUUA
ensembl:lncRNA